GACGAACGCUGGCGGCGUGCCCAAUACAUGCAAGUCGAACGCACAGUUUAUACCGUAGCUUGCUACACCAUAGACUGUGAGUUGCGAACGGGUGAGUAACGCGUAGGUAACCUGCCUGGUAGCGGGGGAUAACUAUUGGAAACGAUAGCUAAUACCGCAUAAUAUUAAUUAUUGCAUGAUAAUUAAUUGAAAGGUGCAAUUGCACCACUACCAGAUGGACCUGCGUUGUAUUAGCUAGUAGGUGAGGUAACGGCUCACCUAGGCGACGAUACAUAGCCGACCUGAGAGGGUGAUCGGCCACACUGGGACUGAGACACGGCCCAGACUCCUACGGGAGGCAGCAGUAGGGAAUCUUCGGCAAUGGACGAAAGUCUGACCGAGCAACGCCGCGGGAGUGAAGAAGGUUUUCGGAUCGUAAAGCUCUGUUGUAAGAGAAGAACGGGUGUGAGAGUGGAAAGUUCACACUGUGACGGUAUCUUACCAGAAAGGGACGGCUAACUACGUG
rnacentral:rRNA from 1 species